rnacentral:sRNA from 1 species
UGGACAGACCUGCAGACAGUCCUGCAAUCACCCAGAACACACAGAGCAGCCCGGGCAGCAGCCACGCACACAUCCCACACAGUCCCAACGCUGUCUGGGAGGAAUCUCCACUAGGGGAAAAGAGACAGUUUGGUCUUCAUGCCCAUUUAAUCCUUCACCUGC